rnacentral:rRNA from 1 species
AUCGAACGCUGGCGGCAGGCCUAACACAUGCAAGUCGAACGCGUGGCGGACGUGUGAGUAAUGUCUGGGAAACUGCUCGAUGGAGGGGGCUAACUACUGGAAACGGUAGCUAAUCCCGCAUACCAUCGGAUGUGCCCUGACGGGAUUAGCUAGUAGGUGGGGUAACGGCUCACCUAGGCGACGAUCCCUAGCUGGUCUGAGAGGAUGACCAGCCACACUGGAACUGAGACACGGUCCAGACUCCUACGGGAGGCAGCAGUAGGGAAUAUUGCACAAUGGGCGCAAGCCUGAUGCAGCCAUGCCGCGUGAAUGAAGAAGGCCUUCGGAUUGUAAAGUACUUUCAGCGGGGAGGCGUUACUCGCAGAGAAAGCACCGGCUAACUCCGUGCCAGCAGCCGCGGUAAUUC